rnacentral:rRNA from 1 species
UAGAGUUUGAUCCUGGCUCAGGAUGAACGCUAGCUACAGGCUUAACACAUGCAAGUCGAGGGGAAACGGCAUUGAGUGCUUGCACUCUUUGGACGUCGACCGGCGCACGGGUGAGUAACGCGUAUCCAACCUUCCCAUUACUGUGGGAUAACCCGCCGAAAGGCAGACUAAUACCGCAUAGUCUUCGAUGACGGCAUCAGAUUUGAAGUAAAGAUUUAUCGGUAAUGGAUGGGGAUGCGUCUGAUUAGCUUGUUGGCGGGGUAACGGCCCACCAAGGCGACGAUCAGUAGGGGUUCUGAGAGGAAGGUCCCCCACAUUGGAACUGAGACACGGUCCAAACUCCUACGGGAGGCAGCAGUGAGGAAUAUUGGUCAAUGGACGGAAGUCUGAACCAGCCAAGUAGCGUGCAGGAUGACGGCCCUAUGGGUUGUAAACUGCUUUUGUAUGGGGAUAAAGUUAGGGACGUGUCCCUAUUUGCAGGUACCAUACGAAUAAGGACCGGCUAAUUCCGUGCCAGCAGCCGCGGUAAUACGGAAGGUCCAGGCGUUAUCCGGAUUUAUUGGGUUUAAAGGGAGCGUAGGCUGGAGAUUAAGUGUGUUGUGAAAUGUAGACGCUCAACGUCUGACUUGCAGCGCAUACUGGUUUCCUUGAGUACGCACAACGUUGGCGGAAUUCGUCGUGUAGCGGUGAAAUGCUUAGAUAUGACGAAGAACUCCGAUUGCGAAGGCAGCUGACGGGAGCGCAACUGACGCUUAAGCUCGAAGGUGCGGGUAUCAAACAGGAUUAGAUACCCUGGUAGUCCGCACAGU